GGCAGUGGCGCUGCUAUACAUGCAGUCGAACGAGUUCUCGUUGAUGAUCGGUGCUUGCACCGAGAUUCAACAUGGAACGAGUGGCGGACGGGUGAGUAACACGUGGGUAACCUGCCCUUAAGUGGGGGAUAACAUUUGGAAACAGAUGCUAAUACCGCAUAGAUCCAAGAACCGCAUGGUUCUUGGCUGAAAGAUGGCGUAAGCUAUCGCUUUUGGAUGGACCCGCGGCGUAUUAGCUAGUUGGUGAGGUAAUGGCUCACCAAGGCGAUGAUACGUAGCCGAACUGAGAGGUUGAUCGGCCACAUUGGGACUGAGACACGGCCCAAACUCCUACGGGAGGCAGCAGUAGGGAAUCUUCCACAAUGGACGCAAGUCUGAUGGAGCAACGCCGCGUGAGUGAAGAAGGCUUUCGGGUCGUAAAACUCUGUUGUUGGAGAAGAAUGGUCGGCAGAGUAACUGUUGUCGGCGUGACGGUAUCCAACCAGAAAGCCACGGCUAACUACGUGCCAGCAGCCGCGGUAAUACGUAGGUGGCAAGCGUUAUCCGGAUUUAUUGGGCGUAAAGCGAGCGCAGGCGGUUUUUUAAGUCUGAUGUGAAAGCCCUCGGCUUAACCGAGGAAGCGCAUCGGAAACUGGGAAACUUGAGUGCAGAAGAGGACAGUGGAACUCCAUGUGUAGCGGUGAAAUGCGUAGAUAUAUGGAAGAACACCAGUGGCGAAGGCGGCUGUCUGGUCUGUAACUGACGCUGAGGCUCGAAAGCAUGGGUAGCGAACAGGAUUAGAUACCCUGGUAGUCCAUGCCGUAAACGAUGAAUGCUAGGUGUUGGAGGGUUUCCGCCCUUCAGUGCCGCAGCUAACGCAUUAAGCAUUCCGCCUGGGGGAGUACGACCGCAAGGUUGAAACUCAAAGGAAGUUGACGGGGGCCCGGCACAAGCGGUGGAAGCAUGUGGUUUAAUUUCGAAGCAACGCGGAAGACCGUAACCAAGGUCUUGACAUCGUUUUGAUCAUCUGAGAGAAUCAGUUUCCCCCAUCGGGGUCAAGAUGACAAGUGUUGCAUGGCUAGUCAGUCAGCUCGUGUCGUGAGAAUGUUGUGUUAAGUCCCGCACCGAACGCAACCCAUUAUGACUAGUUGCAGCAGUACUUAGCUCACUGCUAGUCAGACUGAGUGACAGCGGACGACGUAGUAUGACGUUCGAAAUCAUACAUGCCCCUUUAUGGAA
rnacentral:rRNA from 2 species